GUUCCACUUUCUAGCCGUUGAUCGACAAGUCUGUCUCCGUCGAGAGGACCGGUUCAGAACCAGCAUUGUUACCACUCCAGACCACUAGAUGGCAGUACCAGGAAUGUCAGUUGCCCGCCACCAGCAGCAAACAAAGAAAGAGGAAGUGUUUGAAAUAAAAAUACCCGGGACACUUUGGCUCCUACUCCUGAGGGCUCGUCCAUCACCUUGCGCUUGUACAACGUAGAUCUUGCCCAGGAUGAAGGACUGCACUCGAGUAGCCGGUAUUUCCGGCAUUGUUGGGGGGACAGACCCAUCCAGACCAGCAACAGACGGAGUUGCCUGAAUGGCAGGCAGUAAGGGUAUUGAGGAGGGGCCAGCAAUGGCUGGGGUUGGCUGACUGGCAGGCAGGAUGGCGCCUGGGAAAAGGGAGGGCAGAGGUCUGGUGAUGGAUAUAAAUAACAAGCAGAGAGCACGUCUAUAUUCCAGUGAGAUAUUUGGUCACAUACUCAAAAUGGCUGAGUCUGGGAUUUGUCCAGGGUUUUUAUUUUUCUUAGUUCGGUAAUAACCUGUUUCACGAUG